rnacentral:rRNA from 1 species
GGCGGCCGGUGCCUAAUACAUGCAAGUCGAGCGAACAGAUGAGUAAAGGACUUGCUUCUCGUCGAAGUGUUAGUCGGCGGGACGGGUGGAGUAACAACUGGGGUAACCGUAACCUACUAAGACUGGGGAGUAAACUCCGGGAAACCGGGGCGUAAUACCGGAUAAUAUAUUGAACCGCAUGGUUCAAUGUUGAAAGACGGUUUCGGCUGUCACUUAUAGAUGGACCCGCGCCGUAUUAGCUAGUUGGUAAGGUAACGGCUUACCAAGGCAACGAUACGUAGCCGACCUGAGAGGGUGAUCGGCCACACUGGAACUGAGACACGGUCCAGACUCCUACGGGAGGCAGCAGUAGGGAAUCUUCCGCAAUGGGCGAAAGCCUGACGGAGCAACGCCGCGUGAGUGAUGAAGGUCUUAGGAUCGUAAAACUCUGUUGUUAGGGAAGAACAAAUUUGUGAGUAACUGAACAAGUCUUGACGGUACCUAACCAGAAAGCCACGGCUAACUACGUG